AUGGCUGGAGGAAUAGAUGGAUCAUGCACGUACGGUUUAUCUAGUUUUUCUCAGGCUAGAAAUGGAAGCCGGUGCGCUGCCACUGGAGCAUGCUUUGCUCCAGGGGAUCCCGUCAGCGUCGGCGCCGAGGAACCCCAUCUCAUCCGCGCGCCGCCCCGGAGGUCUUCUCCGACAUGCCGGCUUCCCUGCCCAGACUCCGCGCCGUCUCCGCCAGCCGCGGCAUGUCCGCCGCCACAUCGCCGCCCACCACCUGCACCACCACGCACACGCACCACCUCGCCCCCGCUCCGGCGCUCCUCCAUGGGGUCGGAGUCGGACGGGGUCAACGGCGGAUGCGCGUACGGCAGCGCCGUCUCGCUGGGACUAAUGGCCCGGGACUCCAUUGACGAUGAUCUUCGAGAAAAAAAAUAUGAACCGAUUCCGGCGGAUCGACCGACGGGUGGACCGAAUGGAUAG
rnacentral:rRNA from 1 species